rnacentral:lncRNA from 1 species
GGCUGCGAUGUUGCAGGACCCUUUAACACCGGUUGGUAAUAUACCAACCGGUGUUAAAGGGUUUCUUUUUCUUUUUUUUUCACUUCUUCGGUUCUGUUUAUUGUUUAUAUAUAAUAUAAUAAUAGGUUUUUCAAUACAUGUUUUUCUGAUACAAUAAUAUAUAUAUAUUACACGCAUAUUAAGCAUAUAUAAAUGAAAAUUAUAGACUUAGCUUAAUAAUUAAGCUUUGCCUAUAAUAAAAUGAAUAGACCACAUCAAAAAUUAAAUAGAUAUGUAAAAAGCUUUAUAUAUAUAUAGUUUUAUAUGUACAAAAUUCGUAACACAUAUAUACAUAGAUUUUUUUCUCCCAAUGUCUACAAAUGAUACAAAUGAUCAUCGUUGUUUGGAAUAAGAGUUUCGUUGCCGUUGAAGUGAAACUCACCGUUUGGAUUGAUCACUUGGUCGCGGAGAAAUCCUGCUAUCGUCUCUUGGAUAGCUUUGAUUCGGUCUUGUUGUAGGACCUUUUCCCUCAACCAUUCCGUCUUUAAUUUGAAAUAAACUAAAAAGGUAUUAGUUAUCUAAGUUAUUCAAUAUAAUUCAGGAGAUAAUGAAAAGAGACAUGUAACGUACUCUGAGCGUCUCUAUGGGUGUUUGAUUGACUUGUGCCAUCAUGAAUUUGCACACGUAAUAUGCACAUAGAUUGUUCCCCCCUUCUUGUCUUAAACACCACUGUACGAUAUAUAUAUAAAUAUUCACGACCGUGACAAUAAGAAGGCUAAAAGUUAGCGAAAGUUUGUUAGCUAGUAGAACUUACUUGUGGAUGUAUUAUGUUAAGCGGCGCUUUACAUCCACUGAGAUGUUCACGGUCAAUGAAUCUUUCCCAAACCCUAUACACAGCCAUUGUGGAUCGUGAACUAAUAAUUACAGAGUCAUAUUAUGAUAUUUUUGUAGCUGAGAUCGACAUUACGUACCUUUGAAUAAUGUUUACCAUUUGUUGAUAAUUUUCUUGUGGUUUUCUCAUUGAGUCAAAGAUUAUCAACCGGUUCUUGGGAAUUUCAAUGACCAUGAGUAUCCAGUGAAAGCUGUUUACACACACAUAUAUAUAGUCAGUCCUAUAAUAUAAAAUAAAAUAUGCAUGCACUUAAUAACUAUAUAACUCACUC